rnacentral:rRNA from 1 species
UACGAAGGGUGCAAGCGUUAAUCGGAAUUACUGGGCGUAAAGGGUGCGUAGGCGGUUGUUUAAGUCUGUCGUGAAAUCCCCGGGCUCAACCUGGGAAUGGCGAUGGAAACUGGGCAGCUAGAGUGUGUCAGAGGAUGGUGGAAUUCCCGGUGUAGCGGUGAAAUGCAUAGAGAUCGGGAGGAACAUCAGUGGCGAAGGCGGCCAUCUGGGACAACACUGACGCUGAAGCACGAAAGCGUGGGGAGCAAACAGG